GUUCCAGCCACACCCGCCGGAGUGGGAGGACACGGACAAGUUGCUACACGCGUUGGAUAGGAAAAAGCAGCGGAAGAUCAAGGAUUUGGCCAACCAUCACAGGAAGUAUGUCGUGUAGUUCGCUCUUAGUGUGGAGCAAGCAAGGGCUGGAAAACGAGCCCAGCUUCGUGAGCACUGCCCGAUCGCGUUCAACAACUAUCUCGCAUGGUUUCUUGCAAGUACCCGUGUGGAGGUAUGCCAGCCGGCGUAUGCUGAGGAGAUUCUGGAAGAACCCACCGUUUUUGAUGAGGUAGCCCAGCACCAGUACAACGCAUUAGUCAGGAAAGGCAACUCGGUGAUCCCUUCAGCUCCAAUGAUGAACUUUGUGCGUGCCCAGAUCAAGAAAGCAGCUGACGAGACCGAGACUAUUCUGGAAACAACCCCGGC